CAAUCGGUCCUUUUCAGGACCACCAAUAUAUUUCCUUCAAAGAGCUG
rfam:Drosophila mojavensis strain TSC#15081-1352.22 Ctg01_10624, whole genome shotgun sequence.